rnacentral:rRNA from 1 species
AGAGUUUGAUCCUGGCUCAGAAUCAACGCUGGCGGCGCGCCUAACACAUGCAAGUCGAACGAGAAAGUGGAGCAAUCCAUGAGUAAAGUGGCGUACGGGUGAGUAACACGUGGAUUAUCUGCCCUUUAGUGGGGAAUACCGCUGGGAAACCGGCGACAAUACCGCAUAAGCUCGAGAGAGGAAAGCGGUUCUAUGAAAGUAGAGCCGCGCUGAAGGAGGAGUCCGCGGUCGAUUAGCCAGUUGGUAGGGUAAUGGCCUACCAAAGCUGUGAUCGAUAGCCGGCCUGAGAGGGCACACGGCCACACUGGCACUGAAACACGGGCCAGACUCCUACGGGAGGCAGCAGUGGGGAAUCUUGCACAAUGGGGGAAACCCUGAUGCAGCGACGCCGCGUGAGCGAUGAAGCCCUUCGGGGUGUAAAGCUCUUUCGGCAGGAAAGAUUAUGACGGUACCUGCAGAAGCAGCUGCGGCUAACUACGUGCCAGCAGCCGCGGUAAUACGUAGGCAGCAAGCGUUGUUCGGAGUUACUGGGCGUAAAGGGUGCGUAGGCGGCUCGAUAAGUAUGGUGUGAAAUCUCCCGGCUUAACUGGGAGGGUGCGCUAUAGACUGCCGGGCUAGAGUGUGGGAGAGGAAAGUGGAAUUCCUGGUGUAGCGGUGAAAUGCGUAGAUAUCAGGAGGAACACCGGUGGUGUAAACGGCUUUCUGGACCAUAACUGACGCUGAGGCACGAAAGCGUGGGUAGCAAACAGGAUUAGAUACCCUGGUAGUCCACGCCCUAAACGAUGCAUA